rnacentral:rRNA from 1 species
UACCAGCACCCCGAGUGGUCGGGACGUUUAUUGGGCCUAAAGCAUCCGUAGCCGGUUCUACAAGUCUUCCGUUAAAUCCACCUGCUUAACAGAUGGCCUGCGGAAGAUACUAUAGAGCUAGGAGGCGGGAGAGGCAAGCGGUACUCGAUGGGUAGGGGUAAAAUCCGUUGAUCCAUUGAAGACCACCAGUGGCGAAGGCGGCUUGCCAGAACGCGCUCGACGGUGAGGGAUGAAAGCUGGGGGAGCAAACCGG